GCCCGGUUAGCUCAAUCGGUAGAGCGUGAGACUCUUAAUCUCAAGGUUGCGGGUGAGUAAAAAUUCUCAACACAACUGAUCCACUUGACCCUAAGCUAACAAAAUCGCAUAGGUUCGACCCCCGCAUCGGGCU